rnacentral:rRNA from 1 species
AUGGAGGGGAUGGAAGAUGAGGCCAAGAAGAAGAAGAAGAGGAGCAAGAAGCGCGCAAGGCUCAAGAAAUUCCUCCACUUCCCCAAGGCCCUCAAGAAGCUCCAUGGCCAUGGCCGUCCAAGCGCCAACGACAACCCAUCCCCUUCCCCCUCCGCCGCCGCAGCCGCCGGCUCGUUGCUCUCCGCGUGCAUGCACCCCCGGACCAACUCCUUCUCCUCCGGCGUCCGCCAACGCCACGUCGCUGCCGGUAACCGCGACGACGACGAUGGCGACGGCGCUCUUGCCGUCAACUUCCGGUCUCUCAGGGUCGGCCCGACCGCCGUUCCUGAUGACGACGACGACGGCGACGAUGAGGACGGCUCGUCGACGCAGGAGGAUGACGGCGGCUCUGAGAGCGAUGGGGGCGAUGUCGUGGCCGGGAUGGCUGCCAAGAAGGUGGUCUCCGGAGGGAGCGGCUGCGGCGUGGCGGUGGUGACGCUCUCCGUCGCGCCGUACGAGGACUUCCGGCGGUCCAUGCGGGAGAUGGCGGACGCGCACGCGAGGGUGGAGGCCGCCCGCGUCGGCACGCGCGCGGCGACGGCGGUGGACUGGGACUUCAUGGAGGAGCUGCUGUUCUGCUACCUCCAGCUCAACGACCGGGCGGUGCACAAGGACAUACUCCGGGCGUUCACCGACACCGUCGCGGCGCUCCGGAGGCGGCGCAGGGCACCGGCGCCGAAGCCGAAGAGCAGGCGGACACGGCAGCCGCGGAGGGGCGCCAGAGGAUCCGGCGUCGACGACGACGACGACGUCGACGAGGCGGUGGACUCGAACUCGUGA